CCCUGGGUGGCUCAGUCGGUUGAGCGUCUGAUUUAGGCUCAGGUCAUGAUCUCACAGUUUGCGGGUUCGAGCCCUGCAUCAGGCU
rnacentral:tRNA from 1 species